UACAGAGGGUGCUAGCGUUAAUCGGAAUUACUGGGCGUAAAGCGCAUGUAGGUGGACAUUUAAGUCGGGUGUGAAAUCCCCGGGCUCAACCUGGGAAUGGCAUUUGGGACUGCAAGGCUGGAGUGCGGCAGAGGAGACUGGAAUUCCUGGUGUAGCAGUGAAAUGCGUAGAGAUCGGAAAGAACACCAACGGCGAAAGCACUCUGCUGGGCCGACACUGACACUGAGAGACGAAAGCUAGGGGAGCGAAUGGG
rnacentral:rRNA from 1 species